rnacentral:rRNA from 1 species
GACGAACGCUGGCGGCGUGCCUAACACAUGCAAGUCGAACGGAACUUCUUUAAAGGAUUUCUUCGGAAUGAAUUUGAUUAAGUUUAGUGGCGGACGGGUGAGUAACGCGUGAGUAACCUGCCUCUAAGAGGGGAAUAACAUUCUGAAAAGAAUGCUAAUACCGCAUAAUAUAUAUUUAUCGCAUGGUAGAUAUAUCAAAGAUUUAUCGCUUAGAGAUGGACUCGCGUCCGAUUAGUUAGUUGGUGAGGUAACGGCUCACCAAGACCGCGAUCGGUAGCCGGACUGAGAGGUUGAACGGCCACAUUGGGACUGAGACACGGCCCAGACUCCUACGGGAGGCAGCAGUGGGGGAUAUUGCGCAAUGGGGGAAACCCUGACGCAGCAACGCCGCGUGAAGGAUGAAGGUCUUCGGAUUGUAAACUUCUUUUAUUAAGGACGAAGAAAGUGACGGUACUUAAUGAAUAAGCUCCGG